AGGAUUCCCCUAGUAACUGCGAGUGAAGCGGGAAGAGCUCAAAUUUAAAAUCUGGCGUGCCUUUGGUCGUCCGAGUUGUAGUCUGGAGAAGCGUUUUCCGUGUUGGACCGUGUAUAAGUCUCUUGGAACAGGGCGUCAUAGAGGGUGAGAAUCCCGUCUUUGACACGGACUACCAAUGCUUUGUGAUGCGCUCUCAAAGAGUCGAGUUGUUUGGGAAUGCAGCUCGAAAUGGGUGGUAAAUUCCAUCUAAAGCUAAAUAUAGGCGAGAGACCGAUAGCGAACAAGUACCGUGAGGGAAAGAUGAAAAGCACUUUGGAAAGAGAGUUAAACAGUACGUGAAAUUGCUGAAAGGGAAACGCUUGAAGUCAGUCGCGUCUGCCAGGACUCAGCCUUGCUUUUGCUUGGUGCACUUUCUGGUCGGAUGGGCCAACAUCAAUUUUGACCGUUGGAGAAAGGCUUUGGGAAUGUGGCACCUUCGGGUGUGUUAUAGCCCUCGGUCGUAUACGACGGUUGGGAUUGAGGAUCGCAGCACGCCUUUAUGGCCGGGGUUCGCCCACGUACGUGCUUAGGAUGUUGGCAUAAUGGCUUUAAGCGACCC
rnacentral:rRNA from 1 species